ensembl:ncRNA R05H11.4 ncRNA
UUGACUCCGCCUUCUCUUGGCGGCGCCGUGCCUUCCGUGCCAGGAACCGAUUGUCUAUAGUCUCACACCGUCAUGUACUAUCUGAUUUUCGUGGCGACGCCACCGACGGGUACGGCGGCGAGAACCAAGAAAAAGGGAAGACGUAGAAAGAAAAGAAAAUUUGAAAAAAUUGAGAAGAAAGGGCCUGGGGGAGAGGAACAACUUAUCAUACAUCUGCCACCCCGAAAGUGAAGAGAAAUAUAAAAAAGGUGUUUGAUUUGAAUUUUUGGCGCG